UCCAAGUCUACAUAAAGGAGGCUAUGUACGAUAGUAUCGUGGGAUGCCCCUGUCCAGAUUCAAUUUAAUCACCUCAAAAUCCACAUUUCUGCUUUGCAAAAGGAAAAGUUAAAUUACAUGCAAAUAAAAAAGAAAAAAAUAAUUUUAAAAUGGUCAAAGAUAAUAUGAGAUUUAUGUUUUGGAGGAAGUGGAUCUGCUGACACUUUCUGUUUGCCUUUUUAUCUGUUACUCCUUUUCUUGACAAAGCAAACGACUAUGUUUUUCAAAUUCAAUUUGUCCUCAUAUAAACAUGCAUACAUUCUUCUAACAUUUAUACACAUAAAACUGCAUCAAACAUUAACAGCAUCAUCAUCUUAUAUAUAUAUAUAUAUAUUUCUUUUUUGGAUUAACCAUAUAUAUAUAUAUAUGGGGAUCUUAUAUUCUAAGCCUAUUGACUCAAUUAAUUUAGAUUUGUGCGAGACAUUACCACUAAAGGGAUAAAACACUCAUCAAAAAAAAUUUAUGCAUAUUUUCCAAGUUUGAAACUGAAAUUUUUAAUAAAAAAUGAAGAAAUGUGAAGUUAGGCGUUUGGGACCUACUUCAAUAGAAAGUAGCAACCUCAAAAAAUCUGAUCAAAAGAUAAGUAAGUUUCCAUUACUAACAAAGGCGAAGAUUGAAACAUGCCUCACGGGCUCUUAGAGAUGAGGCCUUUUGCCAAACCCAAAGUCAAUUUUGGAUAUCGUCUUUUAUCCUACUAUUUCUAUAGGGAUAAAAGUGAAGUUCAAAAUUAGCUUAUAGCAUGAGGCAGGCUUAAGAGCAUCAAACAAAUUAUAAGGUGGGAAAGGAGCAGGUUGUGGGGUCUGCUAUACUAAAAGAGUCCAUGUUAUUUCAUCCCAAGAACAGACUCUUAAAAUUAAAAAAAAGUUGAUCGUUUAGAUUAAUGCUUGACAAAUGAUUUUACA